rnacentral:rRNA from 1 species
UACGUAGGGACCGAGCGUUGUCCGGAAUCAUUGGGCGUAAAGAGCGUGUAGGCGGCCACUUAAGUCCUGCGUGAAAUCUUGCGGCUCAACCGCAAGCGGUCGUGGGAAACUGGGUGGCUAGAGUGCGGGAGAGGAGAGUGGAAUUCCUGGUGUAGCGGUGGAAUGCGCAGAUAUCAGGAAGAACACCCGUGGCGAAGGCGGCUCUCUGGAACGCAACUGACGCUGAGACGCGAAAGCGUGGGGAGCGAACCGG